rnacentral:rRNA from 1 species
UACGUAGGGGGCUAGCGUUGUCCGGAAUCAUUGGGCGUAAAGAGCGCGCAGGCGGUCGAUCAAGUCGAGUGUGAAAGCCCCCGGCUCAACUGGGGAGGGUCAUUCGAUACUGAUCGACUCGAAGGCAGGAGAGGGUAGUGGAAUUCCCGGUGUAGUGGUGAAAUGCGUAGAUAUCGGGAGGAACACCAGUGGCGAAGGCGGGUCUCUGGACAGUUCCUGACACUGAGGCACGAAGGCCAGGGGAGCAAACGGG